CAGCAGCCACGGUAACACGUAGGUGGCAAGCGUUGUCCGGAAUUAUUGGGCGUAAAGGGCUCGCAGGCGGUUUCUUAAGUCUGAUGUGAAAGCCCCCGGCUCAACCGGGGAGGGUCAUUGGAAACUGGGAAACUUGAGUGCAGAAGAGGAGAGUGGAAUUCCACGUGUAGCGGUGAAAUGCGUAGAGAUGUGGAGGAACACCAGUGGCGAAGGCGACUCUCUGGUCUGUAACUGACGCUGAGGAGCGAAAGCGUGGGGAGCGAACAGGAUUAGAUACCCCCGUAGUCCCUGUCUCUUAUAA
rnacentral:rRNA from 1 species